UGCUGGAGGAGGAGUUGGACGCAGUUUAAAUGGUCUCCUUGUGUGGCCAUGUGCAGUGGGGACAGUCCAUUCUGGAACACAGAAGAAGAGGACUCAUUGUUUUUGUUUGCUUGUUUUUUGAUUUUUUCCUUUUAAUCUCAAAUGAGCCGAAUAGCAGAACAAUCAGGAGCGUGUUUAAAAACUCCGAUUCCUCAUUUGGAAAUUCCUUAUGUUUUUAAAAGGCGCCGACCAUCCUUUUGAACGGCUCCUGCUUUAAAACAAAACAAAACAAAACUUUCCUUUCUCGCAUCAAAGAAAUAAACCAAAUUGUCAAGGAUGACCUGAAAAGUAAGGAGCACCAGAUACAACACCGGAAGUGGCAGGGAAACCUUCGUUCAUUUCUCGAAGUCUGGCGCCCCCGUGUGUCGAUCAAUCAAAGGAAGCUACUGACCAUCGAAUCAUCCGGGCUUAAUAGUAAUCACGUGCAAUGGGAAGAAAUUGAAGAUUUAUUUCAAGAUCUCAGAAAAGAAAUGAAUCUAGGAGCCCUUAGGUUCGGUCUCCAGCACUGAAGGGAAAAUGUUUAGUGUGACAGUCACUCCUCAGUGGUUGGAGAAGUGAAUCAAGGCCGAGCAGGCCAAUGUUAGUCCUUUCAAGCUUCCGUUCAGUGUGGAAGCCAAGUGGGAGAGCCUGGAGGUUCCCAGCAGGCUCAUUCACCACAGGGAGGUCUAAACUGCUGACAGUAUAUUUUAACACAUUAAAUGGGGCAGGCAAGCCAUUUUCUCUAUGAUAACAGCAAAUUCUGUUUUCAAAAAUGUAGUCAUCAAUAGUGCUUGAAGACCUGGGACGUGUUCCCCAGGGGACCCAGGAACACAUGACUUCUCUACGACCAGUUAUUCCCCCUACAUUCAUUGUAGCAUGGCAUGAAAAAUUCUUAGGCAAAGCAAUGUGAAACCAUUCGGCCAUUCUGUUACCACUGAUGGCCACAUAUUUCAGAUAUCCCUGCUUCUCAAAGGCAAGAAAUGUAUGAUAGCACUUCCCCAGACUGCCUAGCAGAAAGUUCUGGAGAUAAAAAAAGAAGAUAAAAGUGUAAUAAACAUUGAAAUGAAUUUAAA